CUACGGGGCGCUGCAGUGGGGAAUAUUGCACAACGGAGGAAACUCUGAUGCAGCAACGCCGCGUGGAGGAUGACACUUUUCGGAGCGUAAACUCCUUUUAUAUAGGAAGAAGAUGACGGUACUAUAUGAAUAAGCGCCGGCUAACUCCGUGCCAGCAGCCGCGGUAAUACGGAGGGCGCAAGCGUUACUCGGAAUCACUGGGCGUAAAGAGCGUGUAGGCGGAUUAAAAAGUCAGAAGUGAAAUCCUAUAGCUUAACUAUAGAACUGCUUCUGAAACUCUUAAUCUAGAAUGUGGGAGAGGUAGAUGGAAUUUCUGGUGUAGGGGUAAAAUCCGUAGAGAUCAGAAGGAAUACCGAUUGCGAAGGCGAUCUACUAGAACAUUAUUGACGCUGAGACGCGAAAGCGUGGGGAGCAAACAGGAUUAGAUACCCUAGUAGUC
rnacentral:rRNA from 1 species